CUACAGUCAGUGUUUGUAGGGUAAGAUGAGCAAGAAGGUACAGUAAGUGUGGGAGGAGCUCAAUGUUUUGUCGACUCCUGCAGAAUAAAUCAAAUAGACACUGACUUCCCUUCAUACUGAUGAUACUGAAUCUGAACUCAAACUACAGAAACAUGUUACUCAUCACUUCUGUUUUAAUAUUUAUCCUCAGUUACUGUGAAGCGAAUGGGAAUGUCAUCAGACCAGAUCAACCAUCUGUAGUUUUAACUGAAGGAAGCAGCAUCAAUCUGUCCUGUACAUUUGAUGGAUCAGCUUACAGUCUCCACUGGUACCGGCAGAUGCCUGGAUCAAGACCAGAGUUUCUGCUGCUGAUUGUGAAGUCUACUAAAACCGAAGUUCGAGCUUCUCCACCUCACCCGCAUAUGUCCAUCAGUCUUCAUGAUAAACGUGUGGAUCUGGAGAUCUUCUCUGCUGCAGUAUCAGACUCUGCUCUGUAUUACUGUGCUCUGCAGCCCACAGUGACAGGAAACACAAGAACACUGUACAAAAACCUUCUUUUGUCUGUUGCAUACAGUGAUAUCUUUUUCUACCCCCUAUGAUCUCUGUGUGAUAUUCCAUUAUGUUGGUAAUAUGACCUUUAAAUGUACGUAAUGAGAUUAUUGACCAAUGUCAAAUUGCAUUUAUCUUUCAUUUUACAUUUAUUUAGCAAGGACAUCCCUGAAAGAGAAAAGUUCUUUAGAACGGGCAAAGAAUGUAGUUAAGGUCAAUACAAAAAUGGACUGCAAAAUACCAAGACGUUCGAUCACCAUCCAGCACACAAGAAAUAUAUUCUGUUCCUUGAAAUAAGCUUGAGGUAAACUGAAAAUAAGAA